GCCAGCGUGCCACAGUGGUUUGAGUGCUGGACUACAACUUUGGAGACCAGGGUUCGAUUCCCAUCUCAGGCC
rnacentral:tRNA from 1 species